UCCGGCAAUGAAUUGCCGGGCUAUUUUCAUACCGUCCCUACGGGACU
rnacentral:sRNA from 1 species